rnacentral:rRNA from 1 species
AUUGAACGCUGGCGGCAGGCCUAACACAUGCAAGUCGAACGAGUGGCGGACGGGUGAGUAAUGUCUGGGAAACUGCCUGAUGGAGGGGGAUAACUACUGGAAACGGUAGCUAAUACCGCAUACCAUCGGAUGUGCCCCGAUGGGAUUAGCUAGUGGGUGGGGGAAAGGCUCACCUAGGCGACGAUCCGUAACUGGUCUGAGAGGAUGAUCAGUCACACUGGACCUGCGACACGGUCCAGACUCCUACGGGAGGCAGCAGUGGUGAAUAUUGGACAAUGGGCGAAAGCCUGAUGCAGACAUGCCGCGUGUGUGAAGAAGGUCUUCGGAUUGUAAAGCACUUUAAGUUGGGAGGCGUUACCAACAGAAUAAGCACCGGCUAACUUCGUGCCAGCAGCCGCGGUAAUUC